UACGUAGGGGGCUAGCGUUGUCCGGAAUCAUUGGGCGUAAAGCGCGCGUAGGCGGCCCGGUAAGUCCGCUGUGAAAGUCAAAGGCUCAACCUUUGAAUGUCAGCGGAUACUGCCGGGCUAGAGUCCGGAAGAGGCGAGUGGAAUUCCUGGUGUAGCGGUGGAAUGCGCAGAUAUCAGGAGGAACACCAGCGGCGAAGGCGGCAUCCUGGACUGGUCCUGACACUCAGGAGCGAAAGCGUGGGGAGCGAUCCGG
rnacentral:rRNA from 1 species